GAUGAACGCUGGCGGCGUGCUUAACACAUGCAAGUCGAACGGAGAGCCCGGAGCUUUCUCUGUGGGAUCAUUGCCGAACGGGUGAGUAUCACGUGAGCAACCUGCCCCUGUCUCUGUGAUAAGCCCUGGGAACGGCGUCUCAUACUGGAUAUGUGACGUGACCGCAUGGUGUGCGUUUGUAAAGGUUGUUCGGUUGGGGAUGGGCUCGCGGCCUAUCAGCUCGUUGGUGAGGUAAUGGCUCACCAAGGUGUCGACGGGUAGCCGGCCUGCGAGGGUGAGCGGCGACACUGCGACUGAGACACGGCGCAGACUCCUACGGGAGGCAGCAGUGGGGAGUAUUGCACAAUGGGGGCAAGCCUGAUGCAGCAACGCCGCGUGCGGGAUGACGGCCUUCGGGUUGUAAACCUCUUUGAGCAGGGAAGAAGCGAAAGUGACGGUACCUGAAGAAAAAGCGACGGCUAACUACGUG
rnacentral:rRNA from 1 species